rnacentral:rRNA from 1 species
UACAGAGGUCUCAAGCGUUGCUCGGAUUCAUUGGGCGUAAAGGGUGCGUAGCGGCGCGGUAAGUCGGGUGUGAAAUCUCGGAGCUUAACUCCGAAACUGCAUUCGAUACUGCUGUGCUUGAGGACUGGAGAGGAGACUGGAAUUUACGGUGUAGCGGUGAAAUGCGUAGAUAUCGUAAGGAAGACCAGUGGCGAAGGCGGGUCUCUGGACAGUUCCUGGACGCUGAGGCAACGAAGGCCAGGGGAGCAAACGGG